GGGUUGUGAGGUUAAGCGACUAAGCGUACACGGUGGAUGCCUUGGCAGUCAGAGGCGAUGAAGGACGUGCUAAUCUGCGAAAAGCGUCGGUAAGGUGAUAUGAACCGUUAUAACCGGCGAUGUCCGAAUGGGGAAACCCAGUGUGUUCCGACACACUAUCAUUAACUGAAUCCAUAGGUUAAUGAGGCGAACCGGGGGAACUGAAACAUCUAAGUACCCCGAGGAAAAGAAAUCAACCGAGAUUCCCCCAGUAGCGGCGAGCGAACGGGGAGGAGCCCAGAGCCUGAAUCAGUGUGUGUGUUAGUGGAAGCGUCUGGAAAGGCGUGCGAUACAGGGUGACAGCCCCGUACACAAAAAUGCACAUGCUGUGAGCUCGAAGAGUAGGGCGGGACACGUGGUAUCCUGUCUGAAUAUGGGGGGACCAUCCUCCAAGGCUAAAUACUCCUGACUGACCGAUAGUGAACCAGUACCGUGAGGGAAAGGCGAAAAGAACCCCGGCGAGGGGAGUGAAAAAGAACCUGAAACCGUGUACGUACAAGCAGUGGGAGCCCUGAUUUAUCAGGGUGACUGCGUACCUUUUGUAUAAUGGGUCAGCGACUUAUAUUCUGUAGCAAGGUUAACCGAAUAGGGGAGCCGGAGGGAAACCGAGUCUUAACUGGGCGUUAAGUUGCAGGGUAUAGACCCGAAACCCGGUGAUCUAGCCAUGGGCAGGUUGAAGGUUGGGUAACACUAACUGGAGGACCGAACCGACUAAUGUUGAAAAAUUAGCGGAUGACUUGUGGCUGGGGGUGAAAGGCCAAUCAAACCGGGAGAUAGCUGGUUCUCCCCGAAAGCUAUUUAGGUAGCGCCUCGUGAAUUCAUCUCCGGGGGUAGAGCACUGUUUCGGCAAGGGGGUCAUCCCGACUUACCAACCCGAUGCAAACUGCGAAUACCGGAGAAUGUUAUCACGGGAGACACACGGCGGGUGCUAACGUCCGUCGUGAAGAGGGAAACAACCCAGACCGCCAGCUAAGGUCCCAAAGUCAUGGUUAAGUGGGAAACGAUGUGGGAAGGCCCAGACAGCCAGGAUGUUGGCUUAGAAGCAGCCAUCAUUUAAAGAAAGCGUAAUAGCUCACUGGUCGAGUCGGCCUGCGCGGAAGAUGUAACGGGGCUAAACCAUGCACCGAAGCUGCGGCAGCGACACUGUGUGUUGUUGGGUAGGGGAGCGUUCUGUAAGCCUGUGAAGGUGUACUGUGAGGUAUGCUGGAGGUAUCAGAAGUGCGAAUGCUGACAUAAGUAACGAUAAAGCGGGUGAAAAGCCCGCUCGCCGGAAGACCAAGGGUUCCUGUCCAACGUUAAUCGGGGCAGGGUGAGUCGACCCCUAAGGCGAGGCCGAAAGGCGUAGUCGAUGGGAAACAGGUUAAUAUUCCUGUACUUGGUGUUACUGCGAAGGGGGGACGGAGAAGGCUAUGUUGGCCGGGCGACGGUUGUCCCGGUUUAAGCGUGUAGGCUGGUUUUCCAGGCAAAUCCGGAGAAUCAAGGCUGAGGCGUGAUGACGAGGCACUACGGUGCUGAAGCAACAAAUGCCCUGCUUCCAGGAAAAGCCUCUAAGCAUCAGGUAACAUCAAAUCGUACCCCAAACCGACACAGGUGGUCAGGUAGAGAAUACCAAGGCGCUUGAGAGAACUCGGGUGAAGGAACUAGGCAAAAUGGUGCCGUAACUUCGGGAGAAGGCACGCUGAUAUGUAGGUGAAGCGACUUGCUCGUGGAGCUGAAAUCAGUCGAAGAUACCAGCUGGCUGCAACUGUUUAUUAAAAACACAGCACUGUGCAAACACGAAAGUGGACGUAUACGGUGUGACGCCUGCCCGGUGCCGGAAGGUUAAUUGAUGGGGUCAGCGCAAGCGAAGCUCUUGAUCGAAGCCCCGGUAAACGGCGGCCGUAACUAUAACGGUCCUAAGGUAGCGAAAUUCCUUGUCGGGUAAGUUCCGACCUGCACGAAUGGCGUAAUGAUGGCCAGGCUGUCUCCACCCGAGACUCAGUGAAAUUGAACUCGCUGUGAAGAUGCAGUGUACCCGCGGCAAGACGGAAAGACCCCGUGAACCUUUACUAUAGCUUGACACUGAACACUGGUCCUUGAUGUGUAGGAUAGGUGGGAGGCUUUGAAGUGUGGACGCCAGUCUGCAUGGAGCCGUCCUUGAAAUACCACCCUUUAAUGGCUGGUGUUCUAACGUUGGCCCCUUAUCGGGGUUGCGGACAGUGUCUGGUGGGUAGUUUGACUGGGGCGGUCUCCUCCUAAAGAGUAACGGAGGAGCACGAAGGUUGGCUAAUCCUGGUCGGACAUCAGGAGGUUAGUGCAAUGGCAUAAGCCAGCUUGACUGCGAGCGUGACGGCGCGAGCAGGUGCGAAAGCAGGUCAUAGUGAUCCGGUGGUUCUGAAUGGAAGGGCCAUCGCUCAACGGAUAAAAGGUACUCCGGGGAUAACAGGCUGAUACCGCCCAAGAGUUCAUAUCGACGGCGGUGUUUGGCACCUCGAUGUCGGCUCAUCACAUCCUGGGGCUGAAGUAGGUCCCAAGGGUAUGGCUGUUCGCCAUUUAAAGUGGUACGCGAGCUGGGUUUAGAACGUCGUGAGACAGUUCGGUCCCUAUCUGCCGUGGGCGCUGGAGAACUGAGGGGGGCUGCUCCUAGUACGAGAGGACCGGAGUGGACGCAUCACUGGUGUUCGGGUUGUCAUGCCAAUGGCACUGCCCGGUAGCUAAAUGCGGAAGAGAUAAGUGCUGAAAGCAUCUAAGCACGAAACUUGCCCCGAGAUGAGUUCUCCCUGAGACUUUAAGUCUCCUGAAGGAACGUUGAAGACGACGACGUUGAUAGGCCGGGUGUGUAAGCGCAGCGAUGCGUUGAGCUAACCGGUACUAAUGAACCGUGAGGCUUAACCUUACAACGCCGAAGGUGUUU
rnacentral:rRNA from 1 species